rnacentral:tRNA from 1 species
GCCGGUAUGUUGGAAUGGUAGACAUGUGAGAUUUAGGAUCUCAUGAGCGCGAGCUCGUUCAGGUUCGAGUCCUGAUACCGGUA